rnacentral:snRNA from 1 species
GUGCUAGCUUCAGCAGCACAUAUGCUAGAGUUGGAAUGAUAGAUUAUUAUGACCCCUUUGCAAGGAUAACACGUAGAUCCGGGAAGCAUCCAUAUUAAAA